UGGGGAAUAUUGGACAAUGGGCGCAAGCCUGAUCCAGCCAUGCCGCGUGAGUGAUGAAGGCCCUAGGGUUGUAAAGCUCUUUCACCGGUGAAGAUAAUGACGGUAACCGGAGAAGAAGCCCCGGCUAACUUCGUGCCAGCAGCCGCGGUAAUACGAAGGGGGCUAGCGUUGUUCGGAUCUACUGGGCGUAAAGCGCACGUAGGCGGACUAUUAAGUCAGGGGUGAAAUCCCGGGGCUCAACCCCGGAACUGCCUUUGAUACUGGUAGUCUUGAGUUCGAGGGAGGUGAGUGGAAUUCCGAGUGUAGAGGUGAAAUUCGUAGAUAUUCGGAGGAACACCAGUGGCGAAGGCGGCUCACUGGCUCGAUACUGACGCUGAGGUGCGAAAGCGUGGGGAGCAAACAGG
rnacentral:rRNA from 1 species